rnacentral:rRNA from 1 species
AUGGUAUGGGAUCUAUCAUAUGUUUGUUUUCGGCUUAUUUUGCAAGCCAAUCCUUUUUUUUGGUUUUCAGUUGUGGUAUUCGAGUUGCUUCAAUGUCAAGUGUUGAUUCCUUACCUUCUCCUAAGUGGUGUUCUCAUACUGCUAUGUGAAUACCAGUCCUUCAUGAUAAUCGAGAUUGUCAUGUCAAUUCUUUUCCAUCCAAAGUGUCCUCUUCAAGUGGAUCCAAUCAUUUUCAACAUCCGCAAGAUCCAAUCUCAGUUUUCUCAAUGGUGUUUGUUUCAUCCGUCCCAAGUUGUCUUUGUUUUUCCCGCCCACCCACCCUUUUCUUCAAGGACUCAGACUUUUUAA